AUUGAACGCUGGCGGCAGGCCUAACACAUGCAAGUCGAGCGGAUGAGUGGAGCUUGCUCCAUGAUUCAGCGGCGGACGGGUGAGUAAUGCCUAGGAAUCUGCCUGGUAGUGGGGGACAACGUUUCGAAAGGAACGCUAAUACCGCAUACGUCCUACGGGAGAAAGUGGGGGAUCUUCGGACCUCACGCUAUCAGAUGAGCCUAGGUCGGAUUAGCUAGUUGGUGAGGUAAAGGCUCACCAAGGCGACGAUCCGUAACUGGUCUGAGAGGAUGAUCAGUCACACUGGAACUGAGACACGGUCCAGACUCCUACGGGAGGCAGCAGUGGGGAAUAUUGGACAAUGGGCGAAAGCCUGAUCCAGCCAUGCCGCGUGUGUGAAGAAGGUCUUCGGAUUGUAAAGCACUUUAAGUUGGGAGGAAGGGCAGUAAGUUAAUACCUUGCUGUUUUGACGUUACCAACAGAAUAAGCACCGGCUAACUUCGUGCCAGCAGCCGCGGUAAUACGAAGGGUGCAAGCGUUAAUCGGAAUUACUGGGCGUAAAGCGCGCGUAGGUGGUUCGUUAAGUUGGAUGUGAAAGCCCCGGGCUCAACCUGGGAACUGCAUCCAAAACUGGCGAGCUAGAGUAUGGUAGAGGGUGGUGGAAUUUCCUGUGUAGCGGUGAAAUGCGUAGAUAUAGGAAGGAACACCAGUGGCGAAGGCGACCACCUGGGCUAAUACUGACACUGANGUGCGAAAGCGUGGGGAGCAAACAGGAUUAGAUACCCUGGUAGUCCACGCCGUAAAC
rnacentral:rRNA from 1 species